rnacentral:rRNA from 1 species
GGGUGCGAUCAUACCAGCACUAAUGCACCGGAUCCCAUCAGAACUCCGCAGUUAAGUGUGCUUGGACGAGAGUAGUACUAGGAUGGGUGACCUCCUGGGAAGUUCUCGUGUUGCACCGC